GAUGAACGCUGACAGAAUGCUUAACACAUGCAAGUCAACUCUUGCGGAAGGGUGAGUAACUCGCAAAGAACUUGCCUCACGGAUAGGAACAACCUUUGGAAACGAAUGCUAAUCUCUGAUACUGUGAGAGGGCUUUGCGUCCCAUUAGCUCGUUGGAGAGGUAACGGUUCACCAAGGCGAGGAUGGGUAGCCGGCCUGAGAGGGUGAUCGGCCACAAGGGGACUGGGACACGGCCCUUAGUCAUACGGGAGGCAGCAGUGGUGAAUAUAGGAAAAUAGACCACAGUCUGAUCCAGGAAUUCGGUGUGCAAGAUGAAGUUUUCGGAAUGUAAAGUGCGUGCAGUUGAAAAGCGGUACCAACAGAAGAAGUGACGGCUAAAUACGUGCCAGCAGCCGCGGUAAUUC
rnacentral:rRNA from 1 species